CUCCUCCCAUGUGCAACUCCUUUCUUUUCUUCAGAAACUCCAACCCAUGCAGAAUAGCUAGAGCUUCGGCUUGAAUAGAGGAUGAAGCUUGAACUUCUCACAUGAAGCCAUCGACGACUAGUUCGGCUUGAUAUCGCAGGAUUCCAGCUACCGAUCCGACGUAUUCUCCUUGCACCCAUGAGCAAUCAACGUUUAAUUUCAUCUCCCCUCUUCCCGGUGGUGUCCAUUUUCUUGAUCAAUGAUGGAGUGCGGAUCUGGUGGUUUAGCUUGAAAUAUGAAGUUGUUUCGAGUUUUUCAUACAACCCAGAGCAGCAUCCCAACCAACUCGUUCUCGGAGCAAGAACAGGUGUUCGGUUGUCUUCGGAUGGGCAUUGCAGAGCGAACAGAUCGGGUCA